AUUUUGUAAAUUAGAUUAUUAACAGAAAAAAAUAGUCUGCUGAUAACUUUCUUUAUCCACUCUUAUUUAUAAUUCGGAUUUAUUUUAAUAAUUUAUUGUUUUUCUUUGCCAUUACUAGUCAUAUCAUUAUUAUUUCAUUGUGUCUGUACUAAGAACUUUCGUUUUAUUAUAAAUUAUACCUUUAACAUCUUUAAUAAUUACAUUUUAUUAAAUAUUCCGGUAUACACGUUCAUUUGAAUGACAGUCGUGAACAACUAAUAAGUAUUUUCGAAAAGCUCUAUUUUUAUAGUCGUCCGUUGAAGAAGUUUAUUAAAAUAUACAGCAUGUAUAAUACUGUGAAUAUAACGUUUUCAAGUUUAUUUAAUGUGCUAUUAUUCGAUUUUAACCUUUCGAGUGUCAAGAAAUAAUAAUACUCAAACGUUAACAAUACUCUCAAAAAUGUCAAUAUAUAUUAUUGUUCAUUAUUUAAACAGUUUUGUUAUUGAAACUUUCAUUAAUGAUGACAUAAUUUAUUUAUAAUGCAAUGUCUAUUGAUAUAUUGAGUAAAUUCAAUUAUAAGUAUGAUUUAUUAGUGUCAUAACAUUUAUAUUACUACAAUUUACACCAAUAAUAAUUGUGAUUACAGUUGCAAUAAAAAUUUAAUAUUACUUUGUGCCACGGAAACCUCAAAUAUAAUUAAAUUUCCUAAUUUCAAGACUACUGCAAAAUAUUAAGAAGGCGUCAAAAAUUUAGAAUAUCAAGAAAAAUAAGAGAUGAGUUGAAAAUCGAAUAUGAAGUUGAGAAAUAUAUUGGCUAUAUUGGCCGCAUUUUUCAUUCAUUUGAUUCGUCUUUCGGUAGCUGCAGUGGCCACAGGAUCUAAACCAUUUCCAGGAUUAGAAAAUUUACCAAGAUCUUUCUGGCAUGAGCUUAGUUCACCGUUUACUGAGACAUAUGGAAUAGAAGAACCUACAACAGAGAAUGGUGCAACACCUGAGCCCAGACCGUUUUUUCAAGAUCCUGAUGCUAAUAUUACCGUUCAACUUGGUGCGUCAGUGCACUUUCAUUGCAGAGUUGAAAAUUUGCAAAAAAGAACUGUUUCAUGGGUUCGUAGACGCGGUGACGAGCUUCAUUUGCUAACCUUUGGUAUUCACACAUACUCGAGUGAUUCCAGGUUCUCACUGGAUUAUCAAAUGCCAAACGAUUGGCGGUUAUUACUACGAUCAGCGACUGAACGAGACGCAGGCGUUUACGAGUGUCAAGUUAGUGUUCAUCCACCCUUGACAAAAACAAUUUAUUUGACAGUUUCCGUACCACGUGUUGAAAUAGUUGACGAGCACGGUGCAACUGCUGGUGACAAAUUUUACAAAGCAGGCAGUACGAUUGAGUUAAAAUGUGUUGUGAGCAAAGUUCCUCAUCCUACUGGUUAUGUAAUAUGGAGGCAUGGAACUCGAAUGCUCAAUUAUGAUACUAUUCGCGGUGGAAUUAGACGACGUCCGUGUAAAACGAUGGACGUCGUUGCAGGUGGAACUUGGUACGUAAUAAUGACGGGUUUCACGACACACCAGCAUUUCAGUUCACAGUGUGUGAUCUAAUUGGUUAUAUCCCACGGAAUUGAUGAAUUUUAAACAACUACCCGAGUUCCACUAUGGAUUUGAAUCAAUUUUGUUAGUCGGGUUUUCAAUCAGCGGCAUCAGACAUAUUGGUGGAAUAUAACUGAAAUGUAACGAUAUAAAGUCGCUGAAUUAGUAACCAGCAGGUGCCUGGCCACAUACGUUAAAUUUAUCACCAUAUAUAUGCAGUCCCGGUUUGCAGGUUCCAGAACUAACGAAAAUUAAGUCAGUUCACGUAGAUUGUGAGAUACGCUAUUGCCAGCAUGUCUGGUUUAAUUAUUGGUCCAACGCCUAUUGGACGUGAUAGACGUUUAUUCGUUCUUUCGUUCAUUCAUUAGGUUUUUUUUUUUGUUCAUAUAAAUAUAUCCGUACAAACGUGCAUGUAUAAGUGUUCCCUAGGAGAUAUAAGUUUAA